GACGAACGCUGGCGGCGUGCUUAACACAUGCAAGUCGAGCGGAAAGGCCCUGUCUUUGGUACGCGAUCGGCGGACGAGCGGGUAACACACACGCAAGUUACCCGCCCCUGUCUUAGAACUGCCUUCAACGGUCUCGGGCACCUAAUGGGACGGAGCCACUCCUGCGUGGUGGGGGAAGGACAUCUUCGGCGGUGGGGGAUGGACUCGCGGCUUAUCCGUGUGUUGGUGGGGUUGUGGCUUACCAAGGCUUGGACGGGUAGCCGGCCUGAGAGGGUGACCGGCCACAUUGGGACUGAGAUACGGCCCAGACUCCUACGGGAGGCAGCAGUGGGGAAUAUUGCACAAUGGGCGGAAGCCUGAUGCAGCAACGCCGCGUGCGGGAUGACGGCCUUCGGGUUGUAAACCUCUUUCGCCUGUGACGAAGCGUGAGUGACGGUAACGGGUAAAGAAGCACCGGCUAACUACGUG
rnacentral:rRNA from 1 species